CCUACGGGAGGCAGCAGUGGGGAAUAUUGGACAAUGGGGGCAACCCUGAUCCAGCCAUGCCGCGUGUGUGAAGAAGGCCCUCGGGUUGUAAAGCACUUUCAGUGAGGAAGAACGCCUGGUGGUUAAUACCCAUCAGGAAAGACAUCACUCACAGAAGAAGCACCGGCUAACUCCGUGCCAGCAGCCGCGGUAAUACGGAGGGUGCGAGCGUUAAUCGGAAUUACUGGGCGUAAAGCGCGCGUAGGUGGCUUGAUAAGCCGGUUGUGAAAGCCCCGGGCUCAACCUGGGAACGGCAUCCGGAACUGUCAAGCUAGAGUGCAGGAGAGGAAGGUAGAAUUCCCGGUGUAGCGGUGAAAUGCGUAGAGAUCGGGAGGAAUACCAGUGGCGAAGGCGGCCUUCUGGUCUGACACUGACACUGAGGUGCGAAAGCGUGGGUAGCAAACAGGAUUAGAUACCCGGGUAGUC
rnacentral:rRNA from 1 species